rnacentral:lncRNA from 1 species
AACCCGCAAAACUGCGGGUUGGGUCGGGUUGGGUUGAGAUAUGUAAUGGAUUGAGUUGGGUUGAAAAAUUUCAACCCGUUCUACAUGCGGGUUGGGUCGGGUUAAUGCUCAACCCGACCCAACCCGACCCGUGCCCACCCCUAAAUAUCACCAACAACUUCAUCCUCUUUUUGACACUUGCCCUACAUGCACUGCCGAAAAGUAACCAAAAUUAUACCCCUUUUAAAAUAUUAAAUAUUUAACCCUAUUUGAGACAUUGGUUGUGCUCGUUAUUAAUUGUCUGGUGGUAAUAACACAGCUCAGCUAUGCAUUAUUCCCCUUAUAUGGGUAGAGAUAGUAAAUGGCCGGACAGCACGUAGUAUGGUACGAUAUGGUACGUGUAUGUACAGUAUAAUACGAUAUAAGUAUGUUUUAGUAAAGUAUGCAACAUAAUAUGGCACACAUGUGGAUUGGGCCGAUCUUAAAAUUUUAGGCACGCUGGUUUUAAAAGUACAACACGAUUAAAGAUAAGUUAAGAAUGGUACGAUGAAAAAGUAUGUAAUAAGUACAUUUUAUUUUUUAAUGAAAAUAAACUUAAAAUUUUAUGAUUUUACAAAUAAUUUAAAAUUAAAUGUUUUAAAUUCAUUUAAUUCUUAGUUUUAAAAAAUACUAUAAUUGAUUUAUAUUUAUAAUUUAUUAAAUAAAUAAUUGAUAUCGUGAUUUUAAUGAAUAAAAUUAUAGAUAUCAGGAUUUUAUAAAUAUGCAUUAAUAUUAUUGUGAACUAUGAUUUAUAACUCUAUGUAAGUUCAAGUUAACAAUUAAAUUAACCCUUAAGAAAAUUUUAUUAUUAUAAUUGUUGUUAAGUAUUAAAAAAAAUCUAAUACUAUAAGGUCAAACUUAAUAAUUAGUAUUAUAUCCUCUUAUAAUUAUUAGUUUAUUAUUAUUAAAUAUGGGCUUGAGUUUUGAAUUUUCGAUUUUAUUAAAUUUGAAUAAAGGCAUAGGCCUAAAAAAAAGUGCAUAAAAUUAAAAAAAGUACACCAACAGUUUGACAUGCACUCUUAAAAAAUUAAAAAAAUACUUCUUGGGCUUUUUUUCUUAGGCAUGGUAGAGCCCACAACACGACACGUGUGGGCACAGCACGAGUGGGCACAACACGUGUGCCGGGUCGGGCCUAAGUAAAAAAAAAUUAAGCACGGCACGACAUGAGCAUGAGCACACGUAGGCCUUACUUUGCCAGCCCCGCCUGUUGGGCACCUCUAUAUAUGGAUCAGGUCAAUUUGUUUAGUAUUAUUUUUUAGAGACUUAAAAAUAAUUUUAAAUAAUU